GGUAAGCCCCGAAAGGUCCAAAGUCCAAUUAACACCAAUCAAGCCCCCACCUUCGUAGAAGUCUGGCUUUUUGCCGAAAAAGUAAUUUUCAACCACAGUCAAUCGGCGUGCUGUAAGGCAAACACAAACAAUCACAACAAUUCAAACUGCUUAACGAAGUUUCAGCAGUUUAUGGAACAGGUUAAGCAACAAAGUUUGCCCCCUCACUGUUUCCAUCACCGUCAAAGCCGCAUUAUGCUGAAAUGGCUACUUUGGAGCAGAACAACUUGUAAUCAAGUUUUCAACGUGCUUUCACCACAAGCGAGGCAAGAAAUCUUAUCACAAACACUCGCCACAUACCUCAAGGGGGGUUAAAUGGGGCAUUACCCCUUAACGACCAUGUUUUGGUUCGUGGUGGAAUGGUGCCCGUAAAACGAUAAAUGUCCCUCGUCAGAUCAUCAAUCUCCGGGAGUCACUCACAAUGGUCGUCGUCGUUGGGUGGGGGGGAGGCACGUCAUAAGUUGAAACCCCCGUUUUAACGAGUUAGUUCUCCGUGGCCAAAGUUUCACGUUCAAUUUAUAACACGCAAAAGUUUUGCUCGGACGGCAACGACGUGAUUUAUCUCGGCAGUAGCUUUUUAGUAAGGGUGAAACGUGAUUACGAAAAGCUUCCAAAAAGUUGAAAUCAUAAAAAGAAAAAAGAAAAAACAAAAAACAAAAAACAAAAAACAAAAAACAAAAAACAAAAAACAAAA